rfam:Carboxydocella sporoproducens DSM 16521 genome assembly, contig: BR84DRAFT_scaffold00068.68
UGAUAUAGGUGAACCAAGCUGUAGACAGUCGGUGCCUGCUGGCUUAAAGGAGAAAUCCGCCUACCGAGGCUUUGGAAGUCAACUCUGUUGGCUAAGUAUGUCCAUCAGAGGGUCUCCUGGCUUGUCUACGGAGACCCUUUUUUGUUUGACUU